UACUACAAGGCUACAGUAACCAAAACAGCAUGGUACUGGUACCAAAACAGAGAUAUAGAUCACUGGAACAGAACAGAGCCCUCAGAAAUAACGCCGCAUAUCUACAACUAUCUGAUCUUUGACAAACCUGAGAAAAACAAGCAAUGGGGAAAGGAUUCCCUAUUUAAUAAAUGGUGCUGGGAAAACUGGCUAGCCAUAUGUAGAAAGCUGAAACUGGAUCCCUUCCUUACACCUUAUACAAAAAUCAAUUCAAG
rnacentral:lncRNA from 1 species